UCUGAGAGGCUGCAGAACUUGUCCAGGGUCUGGAAGAUGAGAAGAUACAGAGCCAGGCUGGGGCCUGCAUCUCAAUCUCCUAAUCUCAGCACCUUCUGCUUGUUGCCCGAGCUGCCCCUGGGGAAGUCCAGAGUUAAACACAGUGAAGGCAGAGUCACUGACUAGUGCAGCUGAGCCCCGGCAGAGGUGGAUUUCCUGGGCCCCUUCCGAGCCUGCUGCUGUCUGAUGGGUACCUACCUGUCAUGUCACCCCUGAUGCUGUCCCUGGAGGUUUACUGUCCAGCCUGGCUCAGAGCUCAACCCAUCCUGCAUGUGUCUGGUGACCUUUGGCAUCCGCGGGGACACGCUGUGCCGAGGCUGGGAUGGAGGGAGGAUUACACGGCUCACACGCUGUUGCCAAACACAUUUUGGAGAAGAAGAGAGAAAGAGCAAAAUAAACAGAGACGUGUUCACCUCCCUGGUGCCCGAUGAAGAAAGCCUUCCGGAAAUAGCUUGGCCACAGGGAACAGAUGUUUUGCCUGAUCAAUAAAGACUGCAACCAGCCAGAUAAGGACAUAACCAAACAUACCCUGCCACUGUCAGUCCUCACCAGAGGACUCUGUAGUCAUAAAAAGAGCUGGACUUCUACCACUCAUAACAGCCGCCUUGAUAAGCGCCUGGCAUCUGCCACUGAAGACUCUGCCCACAUCAAAGACUCUUCCUUGCAAAACUGUGACGCUGCUGAGCUGCCCAAGCCAGGCCAGAAUAUUCUUUUUGUUCACAUCGCUCUUCCUGUACUGGCUUGUUAACUCUUUUUCCUAUCCCUUUUCUCAUGCCAUGUUACUUUGAUGUGUAAUUUUCAAUCUAUAAUGUUUAUAUAUUGAUAAGUAUGCUUUGUAUGGUUUGCAAUACUGACUGAUCUGUGGAGUGGCUUGAGACUGUGUGCUUGAGCCUG